CACCCGCAGCUCGAGUGGUGGUCACUUUUAUUGAGCCUAAAGCGUUUGUAGCCGGUUUUGCAAAUCUUCAGAUAAAUUCCUCUGCUUAACAGAUGAUCUUCUGAAGAGACUGCGAGACUUGGGACCGGGUGAGGUUGAAGGUACUUCCGGGGUAGGGGUAAAAUCCUGUAAUCCUGGAAGGACGACCGGUGGCGAAGGCGUUCAACUAGAACGGAUCCGACGGUGAGGAACGAGGGCUAGGGUAGCAAACCGG
rnacentral:rRNA from 2 species